UAAAGUUCAUUUUUUAAUAAUUUUCAUUAACAUUUUGUACUGAAUAAAAUGAGAUAUAGAAUUAACUAGGCAUGUUAAAUAUGAUUUGAUAAAAGUUAAGAAAAAGCUUGAUUUGGAUAAAAUUUGUAAUAAUAUUUAUUUUGCAGAAAUUUCAGGAGAGUAUACACCAACACCUGCUGGAAUGGUUUGCCAAAUACCAAAAGUAUUAGGAGGAAUAUGUCCCAACCAUGAAAAAUGUGUAUCUUAUUGUAAAUUCUUUGGACACAAAAAUGGUGGUUAUUGUAUUCCUCCUGGUGGUGAAAGGUGUUGUUGCACCAAAUGAAGAGUGUUUCUCUUAUGUUAUUCUUUUAUAAUAACAUUUUUCACUCUAUAUAUGUAAGCCAACUUUGGAAACAUCAAUAAACUUUCUUAAUUUUUUUUAUAUAUCUAUGUUCCAGUACGCUUAAUAUAGUCUCACAUCAUUCAGAAGUCAAUAUCAAUAACAGUUUAUCCGACUUGAGGUCGAAAGAAUCUCUAAUUAAACUUUGAUUUUAAGUCUUAAAAACUAGAGUUAGUCAUUUUAUCUGAGAUGAUUAAAUACAUAGAUUGCUAAUAUAAUGAAACAAUUUUUCACAUCUUAUUUUUACAGUAAGAUUAUGAUUCUUUUAUAUAAUUUAAUAAAAACAACAAAUAUUUCAUUUUAAACAAUUUUACUUUCCCAAGCUUUUCAGACUUUUCUUCCUCCUCCUUCUUAUGAAAAUUUAUGUAAGGAUGGAGUGUCUAACAAGUGACUUAUUUGUUUGGUCCAUCAUUCUUAAGAGUCUUUUUGGAAAGAAUAUGUAGAAAAUUACUAAAUUAAUAAUCAAUGGUAGAAGAACAUAAAAGGUACACAUAGUCUAAUUAAUUUAGAAAUACAAGUAAAGGAAAGAAAACAAAUAUUUUAGUGUAAUAAUGACACUAUUAUCUAAUAAAAUAUUAAAUCAAUAACAAAAUAAUAAAUAAAAUAAACAAUUUAUCUAAAUUCAAUAAUAAAUAAUUAUUAUUUUCAAUCAAAUAUAACUUUGUCAAUGUAACUUUUUCAAUCAAACUACUCUAUCAAGAUUCCCCAAAACCAUAAACGAACCAACUAAAACUAAAACUAAAUCGAGUGUAGGCAAACCAAAGGUUCAAGACAUCAAUCUGAAUGUAAAAAACUAACAGAUGGAAUUUUAGAGGAGAUCCAAGACCAAACCUUCAAUUGAACCAAAGAGAAAACCUCUAAAUGAUCCACUACUCUACCUUUAAAGAUGACCUUGUUCCUAAUAUGUCAGAUUUCACUAACCAUCACAAUCCAGACAUUCUCCAAGACUAAAUUGACAUAAUUAGGUGCAUAAUGGAACACCAUCCCUUGAUUUAAUGGUAUAUCCCUAAUAUAUCUUUCUUCAAAAUAUUGAUUAAAUCCCUUUGCAAGUGUAGUGAUUUGAAUUAUUUGAGAUAGCUUUGAGUAUAUGUGGCCUCAAAGAAUCCUUGUACACUUUGUUGUUCAAUGAAUUACUUGGUGGAGAACAACUCUGAAGCAAAGGAGUUAUUGGAAGCUUUGUUAGAUAGGUAUCUCACGUUGAAGAAUUUCGUGUAUAAAGAUUUGAUUGAAAUACUUUACCAGGAUGAAAGGUUUAUUGAAGAUUCCAUAUCAACUAAAAUAAAAAUAUUUCAUAAUAUAUAAGUUAACGUAAACCUCAUCUUAUAAGUUAAUUUUAUAAGAUUGAGUUAAACUUAAAGUUUUUUUUCAUUUAUGAAAAACCACCUAACUAAAUAAGUGAAUGGAAGGAGACAUAGUUAACAUGUAUGACUAUAUGAUGAAGAUAAUCAAUUAUUUCUUUUUAUUUGUGGUUUCUUUUGAUAUUUUGGAAAACAAGGUUCUUAAUUUGAUAGUAGUUGUGAAAAUUGUUAUUGAUGUGUUGUUCAAAAUGUUCAAGGAAUAAAUUGGAAAGGUUAGCAAAGAACUCCAAACCUUUUGGAUUGACAUUCUUAUAUAGAUUUGGUAGAUGCACUACAAGAAAAUAAUGAAAUAGAAAUCAAUUUUAGAAACAAAAAAAAUAAUUAGUUGCUAUAAUGACUAAAUUAGAUACCAUUUUAUAAACUAAAAAAACUUUUGGUUUCUAAAUUAGUUUCUAUCAUUGUUAAAUGGUUUCUAAAUUGGUAUCUAAUUAUUUAUCAAUGUUUUUGCUACCAAAUUUAGAAUUUAAAUAAUUGGUAGUUAAAACUUUGGUAGCUAAUUAGAUAUCAAUUUAGAAAUUAUUUAACAAAAAUAUAAACUAAUUUAGAAACCAAAAUUUUUUAUAAUCUCUAAAUGAUAUUUAAUUUAGUCAUUAUAGCAACUAAUUAUUUUUUGUCACUAAAUUGAUUUUUAUUUUCUUGUAGUGAAGGUGUUCUGAUGAAACUUUGUUAAAUAAUUCAUUUAUUAAAUUAUAACAGGAAUGACUAAAUUUUUUUUUUAAAUAUAUAUAUAAAUAUAUGUAUAUAUAAAUAAUUUAUUAAAUACUGUAAACUUUUUUUUUCUUUUGAUAAAAAAUUACUAUUAUUAUAAUAACUAUUGAAAUAAAAAUAUAUUAUUAAAUUAAUAAUUUUUAUUAAUAUAAAAAUAAAUAUUUUUAAAAUAUUAUUGUAUGUAAUUUUUUAUUUUGUAGAUGGUUUUUUAUUGGAAAGAACUAUUUGAAUUUUUAAAAAAAGUAGUUAUUUAAAGUAUAAAAUGUAAAAAAAUUAGAUUUGUUAUUUUUUUCAAAUUCAAAUUUUUCUAUGUAUCUUAAAAUUCAAAAAUUUCAGUUUUAAAUAAAUAACUGUCAAAUUUAUUAUGUUUUAAUAUUAUAAAGGAUAAAAUUAGGUGGGAAAAUGUGUAAAAGAAAUUCUUUGUAUAUAUCAUUAUAGAUAACAACAAAAAUUUAUAAUAAUAGUAUUAAAUUUAAUAAUGAUAAUAAUAACGAUAUUAAUAGUAAUAAUACUAUGUUCAGUUUUCUCUUGUAGUAGAAAUGAUAAUGUUCACUUUAAUAUAUUAAAAGAAGUGAUAAAUAUUAUUUAUUUAACCUUAUUUAGGUACAAAUUUCAGUUACUCUUUUAAGAAUAAAAUUUACUAGUACUCAAACAAGUAUAUAACUUGUAUACUGAUUAAAUAUAAUAAAAGAUUGCUUUCAUUUUUUUAUCUUCAUUUAUUUUUUUAAAGGUACUUAUUUUAAAUAUUUCCUAAAUUAUUAAAUAAUACUUAUGUUUGCAAAUGCUUUUAUUUUAUUAUUAAUUGGUUUCAACAAUAAUUAAUAAUAUAUAAUGUAUUUUAUAAAUGUGGCAUUUAAAUUUAUAAUCUAAAUCUUAAUGUUUCCUUCUUUAAUAAUAUAUAAUAAUAUUAUUAUUAAAUUAAAUAAUAAUAUCAAUAUUAAUAAUAAUGAUAUUAAUAACAAUAAUACUAUUAUUAAUAAUAUAUUUUUAAUAAGAAUAAUAUUAAUUAUAAUAAUAAUAAAAGUAAUAAUAUUAAUAAUAAUAUUAAUAUUAAUAUUAAAAAUGGUAUAUUAUUAAUGAUAAUAGUAUUAUUAAAAAUAAUAGUAUUAAUAAUAUUAAUAAUAAUAACAUAAUAGAUCACUAAAUUGUCAUACAGUUAGUAAUUACAUUUUCUCCCUUGUUUUUCGCCAAUGUUCAAUUUCCUCUUGUAGUAAAAAUGAUAAUAUUAACUUGAAUAUAUUUAAUAAAAAAAGUAAUUAAUAUUAUUUAUUUAAUUUUAUUUAUUUAGGUACAAAUUUCUGUUACUCUUUUAAGAAAAAAUUUUAUUAGUACUCAAACAACUAUUCAACUUAUAUACUGAUUAAGUAUAAUAAAAGAUUCCUUUCAUAGUUUUAUCUUCAUUUAUUUUUUUUAAAGUACUUAUUUAAAUAUUUCCGAAAUUUUUACAUAAUACUUAUGUUUGCAAAUGCUUUUAUUUUAUAAUUAAUUGGUUUCAUCAAUAAUUAAUAAUUAGUAAUGUAUUUUAUUAAUAUGGUAUUUAAAUUUAUAAUCUCAUUGAUAAAAAAAAACUAAAUUUAUAAUCUAAAUGUCUCCUUCUUUAAAAUUAAUAACUAUUUUUUAAAAAAAGUUGAUUAUCUUAAAAUAUAUUUUUAGACCAAUAAUAAUAAUACAAUACUUAUAUAUGUAAGCAUUUCUUAAAGGUAAUAUAUAAUUGAGUUUAAUAAUAUUAUUGAGUAUGAUGAAUUUUUAAUUUUAAAAUCACAGUAUACAUUUAUUAAAUAUAGUAUUUUCUACUUUAAGUUUGUGCACAAUAAAAAUAUUAUAGGGUUUAACUUUCAUCCAUCUAUCUAUAUAUAUACGUACGAUAUCUAUACAUACCAUAUCUUCUCUAGCAUACAUAUCAAUAUAAGUUUCAAAAGUUAAAGAAAAAAACUCAGACCUUCUUCAAAGAAUGAGUAUGAAGAUCAAAACUUUGAUGUAGUUCUUCCAAAUUGUUUGCAUUGCUUUUUUCUUGGUUUCAGGUAAUAAACUCAUAUAUGUUUUGUUUAGUAUGGUUUUUAGUUGUAAUUUUUGUUUUCCUAUUUUUAUUGGAGAUUCCACAUCGACUAGAAAUUAGAGUAUUUCAUAUUAUAUAAGUGUUAUUUCGAACCUAUCCUAACAAAAUUUGCUGGGUCAUGCAAACCUCACAUUGAACCGGUUUUAUAAAGUUGAGUUAGACUUAAAGUCCAUUUCUUAAUAAUUUUCAUUAACACUUUGUACGGAAUAAAAUGAGAUAGAGUAUUAACUCGGCUUGUUAAAUAUGAUUUGAUAAAAGUUAAGAAAAAGCUUAAUUUGGAUAUAAUUUGUAAUAAUAUUUAUUUUGCAGAAAUUUCAGGAGAGUAUACACCAACACCUGCUGGAAUGGUUUGCCAAAUACCAAAAGUAUUAGGAGGAAUAUGUCCCAACCAUGAAAAAUGUGUAUCUUAUUGUAAAUUCUUUGGACACACAAAUGG
rnacentral:lncRNA from 1 species